rnacentral:tRNA from 1 species
AAAUAAUAGUAAAAAUAAAUUGUAAAUUUAUUUAAGAAUUUAAAAUAUUUCAUUAUUUA